GGUUCGAUGAACACUUUUAUUCGAUGUGCAGGGUCGGAAUUUGUUUAUAAUUUUCUUAAGGUCGUUACAAUUAUCGCGUUACACGCCCUCGGGUCGCAUAAUAUUCAGCCAAGUAUACUGUAUCGAUAGAGCAUAAGAUCUCCUUGUUUCGGUUAAUUGAUAACACAUUAAAUAAUAUGAAGACAGAAUUAGUCUCGUGUGUGACAAUUGUACACCCCCGUCAUCGAAAGUCCAGUUCCAAUUCACAAAGGAGGGACUCUCAGCGAUCGUUAAUUUACGUACCGAAUUCCAUUCGAACAAACCGAAAAGAUCGUAUUCUCUCGACAGUCCUUUUAUUGUAAAUCGAUCCCUUUAAUUUUCAUCCUAUCCGAUAAAUUCUAUUGUCCCAGGAUCAUCGAACAUGUCGCAAUGGGUUUCCGGGGUGACGAGCUGCUGGUUCGACGGAUACUUGUACCAUACGGUUGUAAAUAAUUUAUUGAUAUGCUUAUGUAUAGCUUAUAUUGAUACAAUAAACGUAUAGGAAAACUAACGUAUAAGGUUGUCAAAAGAACAGUCCAGUCACCGUGGAGAAUUGCGAUAAUUAAGUGAGCUUAGAUCCUAGCGUAAAAAUGCCCUCCUUGAAAUCAUAAAUUAUUACCAAGGCAACCGAUCGGUCGUUAAAUCAGAAACGCAAUUAACGGGUACGCAUCCAUACUCUUUAUUGCAUGUCUCGUAAAUUCGAGAUCCCCUCCAAAAGUCAACUAGAAAAUUAUAAUACUAGGGAAGUACAACUUAUUGAUAUAAGAGGACCCAAGAGUUUCGAAAACUUAACCCGAGUAUAUCUACAGACGUUACGCGGUCGAAUUAAAAACAAAUACCGUCACUAAAAAAUACGUAAUCCUUUUCUUAACCGAAAGUUACCGGAAUCAACAAUCGUACGCUCCAUCAUUAGUAUGGACUGAUUAUUAAAUUAUUAGUAUGUAAUUAAUGCUACUCAUCAAGGCCUUAAUGCAUCAAAGACCCGACAGGUCGUGAAUCUCAUUGAAUUUCUUCGGAAAUUGCAACGUGUAUCCAGGUACGAGCGUUUCCGAAGAGUCCGAAUAAACACACACAGGCCAAGUUGAAUUUUAACGUCAAACGAAAUUACGAAAGAUUCCCAAUCGGUAUACCACGACGAGAAUAAUAUUUUUGACGAAAGGUUAUUUGUGAAUACGUAAUUUCGUUAAAAUUCAAGAUGGCCGACCUGGACCCUCAAAUGCGUUUCACUGUCGCAAAAGUGUUACGCGGGGAGAGAAUUCCCAUCGCCUGUGCCCAAUUCCCGGCGAAAUGUCAGUGAGUUCACGAAGCCGCGUUUCUUGUGCUACUUUUCGCGUCCGGCGAUGAAUACAUCACCGUUAUAUUUUAAUCCUCGAUAUUACACGUCUCGUACAGACCGAUCUCAACUCGCGAACCAAAUAUUAAAGUAUCAGAUCUUUGGCAGUGUUGUCAUUGUCGUUGUAAUUACGCGGUGAAGUAAUACAAGCGGCAUGAUCUAAGAAAAGGAAGAACAAAGGAAAUGAAAGAAAGAAUGGAAAAUGCGGUUUCUCCCCCUUAGAGUGGAAAGUGGACAGCCUUCGGACACGGAGAUCUCAAAGUAAUCACGAUCCUAACCGAAUAAUAAACUCGGAAUACCGAAUGAAACGUUCUUUUGUACAAAAUAGGCGUCGCCAGGCAAUAGCCGAACACGUGUUAUCGGUGCUAAUCAUUCUUGACGUGUUAAAAAGGAAUAAAAAGUGAAAAAGUGUCUACGAA
rnacentral:lncRNA from 1 species